CCAGUAGUGUAUGCUUAUCCUAAAGACUAAGCCAUGCAUGUGCCGGAAUUAGAGGAAGCGAUUCUCUCCGAAUCUGCGAACGGCUCCGCAAACCAGUUGUAACCCACGGCAAGCCCGCCCGUGGAACCCGGGCCGGGUCCUCGCGGAUCCGCCCGGGGGAAACGGGCGACAAGGCUACCCCUGGUAAUCCUGUGGCUAAUACUCGACCAUACGACCCGUAGCCCGCGACCCUCGUCGUCCGACCGCUUGUGGCGGGGGACGGGGAAAUCGCGGUGCGGGGAGUGUGCGGACAUUAACCAAUAGCGAUGGGGCACACCUUACAAACCCUACCAGGAAAGAACGCACGCUCAAACCGCGGUCAAAAAGGGAUGCGCGGUGGACACCAUCUCUCUCUGUGCUAGGACUUCCUCCAUUCCUUGCCUUCGGGCGGAGGGUGGCCGGUCCCAUCGGGGGGGAGAUCGGGAGAAACCGCAUCCUCGCGGGCCUUGCAGCGGGCUUCUGACCUAUCAACUGUACAGCAGUGCAAGGGACGUGCUGUGGUGACAACGGGUACAGAGGAUCAGGGUUCGAUCCUGGAGAGUGGGCCUGAGAGAUCGCUCACACUUCUAAGGAAGGCAGCAGGCGCGUAACGUUCCCAUUGGGCGAAGCCCGAGGGCGUUAGGGGAAAUAUGAAUGCCUGCCUAUGGUGGGCAAUUCAAAUGG
rnacentral:rRNA from 1 species